CUGAAGAGCUGGUCUCACUCCCACUGUGCCACCUCCAACAGCACAGAGUCUGUUUCCAGGCAGCAGGCAAGCAGGGCUUGAGAACUUUCCCCAGGCUACCCGCCUCCCAGCUGUGAAAGAAAAGGACUUUAGUUCUUCCCCCACCUGUGGAAUCUGCUGGCUGGAUUCAUGCCCUCCAGCAAGUUCUGGCCAGGAGGCUUCUCACCUGGUUCAAAUUGUUACAAAGUUCAGCUGGAGACUUCCUUCUCCCUGUGGCAUUUUCCCCAUACCUCUGGACACCCUCCUGAAGGAUCCCUGUGGUGCCAGGCAUGAAUGGCCUGCUUGGGGACCCAAUGAGUUCCCAGGACCCUUCCUGCUGCUUCUUCUACCCUUGUAUUUUGCUUGGCUGUCUAAAUUGACUCAGCUCCAGGAUCCCUUCGUUUGAGGUAGGAUAUGGAAUCGCAUCCACUCUGAUUUGUUGCCAGCAGUGUUCUCCAACUUAAUUAUCCUCUGUGAUCCACACUAAAGUAUUUUGAAGAAUAACAAAGCUCUCCAAGGGUCUUAAUACAGCAGUCCCCGACGGGCUUUUCUGUUUCCUACCGCGUUGUGAAGGAGAUUCUUGCUGCUUCUUCGCUUUCUGCCAUGAUUGCAAGUUUCCUCCGGCCUCCCCAGCCAUGUGGAACUGUGAGGCCUGCAUUAUUGUUGUCGAGUUCAAAAUCAUCUUUCAAAAUCAAGAAUUGACAUCAGUUCAUUACCCACGGCAAAAGGCUUCUAAAAAGCCUAUGCAGAAUUUUUGAAGCAUGGUCUGUGAAUAUGAUGGAAUAUCACUCUCAUGAAUAGCUCCAACUCCUAAAAUGAUUGCAUUUUGUUCUGUGGAAUGUGUGGCCCAUCAAAACCAGGAUCCCUGUUUCUCCAACUCUUCUAAAGGUGAUCUUCAUCACAAAUGGCAUCAACAGAAAACACCACUUGAAACAUAGGGGAAAAAGUGGCCCCACUUCCUUCAUUGGCUAUUUUCCUUUUUUUGUUGUUGGAUCCUUUAUGCAAUAAAAUAUAUUGUAAAAGUUAUAUCUAUUAACUCUG
rnacentral:lncRNA from 10 species